rnacentral:rRNA from 1 species
GAUGAACGCUGGCGGCGUGCCUAAUACAUGCAAGUCGAGCGAACAGAUGAGGAGCUUGCUCCUCUGACGUUAGCGGCGGACGGGUGAGUAACACGUGGAUAACCUACCUAUAAGACUGGGAUAACUUCGGGAAACCGGAGCUAAUACCGGAUAAUAUAUUGAACCGCAUGGUUCAAUAGUGAAAGACGGUUUUGCUGUCACUUAUAGAUGGAUCCGCGCCGCAUUAGCUAGUUGGUAAGGUAACGGCUUACCAAGGCAACGAUGCGUAGCCGACCUGAGAGGGUGAUCGGCCACACUGGAACUGAGACACGGUCCAGACUCCUACGGGAGGCAGCAGUGGGGAAUAUUGCACAAUGGGCGGAAGCCUGAUGCAGCAACGCCGCGUGCGGGAUGACGGCCUUCGGGUUGUAAACCGCUUUCGCCUGUGACGAAGCGUGAGUGACGGUAAUGGGUAAAGAAGCACCGGCUAACUACGUG